rnacentral:rRNA from 1 species
UACGGAGGAUCCAAGCGUUAUCCGGAAUUACUGGGCGUAAAGAGUUGCGUAGGUGGCAUAGUAAGUAGAUAGUGAAAGCGUGUGGCUCAACCAUACAUCCAUUAUCUAAACUGCUAAGCUAGAGAAUGAGAGAGGUUAUUGGAAUUCCCAGUGUAGGAGUGAAAUCCGUAGAUAUUGGGAGGAACACCGAUGGCGUAGGCAGAUAACUGGCUCAUUUCUGACACUAAGGCACGAAAGCGUGGGGAGCAAACGGG